rnacentral:rRNA from 1 species
UACGUAGGGUGCAAGCGUUGUCCGGAAUUAUUGGGCGUAAAGAGCUUGUAGGCGGUUUGUCGCGUCUGCUGUGAAAACUCAGGGCUUAACCCUGAGCUUGCAGUGGGUACGGGCAGACUAGAGUGCGGUAGGGGAGACUGGAAUUCCUGGUGUAGCGGUGAAAUGCGCAGAUAUCAGGAGGAACACCGGUGGCGAAGGCGGGUCUCUGGACAGUUCCUGAC